CAGAUAUUUCCUUCACCAAUUCCAAGGUCUUCCUUGCUGCCCAUGUAUAUGAUAAAUACUAGAUCAUUUUAGAAGCCUUAAGUCAUUACUAAUAUUAAUUCUUCGUACCAUUAAUGUUUACUAUCCUUAAGCCGUUUUUCAUAUGUUAACCACUUUUAAUUUUCUCUUAUCUUGCAGAUCAUAUUCGUAAAAUAAGCGAAGAUGAUGCCCUAAAGAAUAACACAUCGUUAUAUAAAUAUUAUUGGGAUCCUAAAUAUGGAAAGAAGUCAGCCACCAUUAAGAGAACUGUUCUUAAAUAGAUAAAGUGAAGAUCAAGAAAGGAUAAAAAUCGCUCUGACGAUGAGGACCAAAUUAGUUGCUGACUAGCUAGCUCCAUAAAUGGGAUGCACGGUUGGAAGCAACUGGAAGAAGUAUUGUAGUGCAUGCACCCAAUGACAAGGUUAUUUUGCAAUUUGUGCUGAGAAUAAUGUAGGACUUGUUUUGUUUAAUUCUAAUGCUUAGAAGUAUAUCUAUUAACUAAUUUUUCAGAAGACAUUUCCUUAGUCAAGACCACAGGGGAUAUGAUUCUGCAUUAGAGAGAAAGGCCACUUUGCUUGUGCUACUGAAGAAGUUGAUUCCUAGCUAGUUCUACAACUAAACCAACUUUGGUGAAAAUCUCUUUUGAUCAUUCAUUUAUUCCUGGUAUAUAAGCUUUGAGCAAGUUCUUUACGUAUAACCUGUAAAAGUAGAUUUUAAAAACUUUGAUGGUUCUGAGAUGCCACAUCGAUUUUCUGUCACUUUGUUUUCUAUAAGUCGUGCAAAAAGCUUACAUUUUCAUGUAAAUAUAGUUUGUUGCUAAAUUUGUAGAAUUUUGCGUCUACAUCUGCUCCAUUCUUCUGCUAAAUAAAUUUAUUCGAUUAAUGCAGUUCAUGAGUGAUAUUCUCAGUUUGGCUUUUGCUACUGUAAAUCCUAGCAAAGUAAUACACUGCCAUGACUCGUAAAUGGGUGGCUUCUGCUGCUUGAUUACCGUCUGGCAAAGCAACAAAGGACUACUCCAAUAUGAGAAUGAUUGAAUCCAUGUUCUGUACAUCAUAUUUUUUGGGUGUGCUUUGAAAAAUAAGGUGUUCAUAUUAAUACAAAGUCUUAACAAGGGUUGCUAUGUUUGUAAUAAGUCUAACCAAAAUCUAAAAAGCUAUUGAAGUAGGUGAGACAGAGUAACAGAUGAUGAACAUAAUCCACAUUGAACGACCAGUGAAGGGCAGAUCGUUGCUCAGAACAUGGUGAAGGAAUGCGGGGUCAUGAUUUAAAGAUGCACGGACAGCAUAUUGAUUACCCUCUCUUGUCUCUACUUCUCUACGCAUUUUGUAGAAUUCUGAAUGUGUCAUAUUCAAAGUGCUUGAAGCAACUUUAUUUUGUUUCUUAACUACUAUUUUCAAGUGCUUUAUUACCUUACAAUACUUGUUUCUGAAGAGGAAAUUCAUCCAUUAUAUCCCCUUUUUUUCUAGUCAUAUUUAUAAGGAUACAACUAUAAAAUUUGUGAUUACCGCACGCUAAGCCUAUAGAAGAAAAUCGCCAUUUACAGUAAGAAGGAUGAUUGCAGUUUUUUUUUUCUUUUUUUUUUUUUUUUUUUUUUUUGGUUCCCUGGUUGUAGGUGAAUCAACAUCAACCUCACAGGAAUUCCCAGGCUAGACUAGGUUUUCAGAUUACCUUAUGGUUUUGGUCUUUUAUUUAGGAAGGGCAAAGAUAUAUAAUUUGUUUCUAAACUAUUUUACAAUGCACAACGUAAUCUAUCUAUGAAAACUUUGUGCAAUAUUACGAAACAGAUAGACAGAAGAAGAAACCCUCAUUAGAUUAAGAAAAAAUAAAUAAA